GGUCUUGUAUUGAUAUAUCCACUUGUACACAGUUUGAAGAAAAAACAUAGGACACAGAGGGAAAUGCCAUUUUUUUUUUAGCAGCAAUGAAAUAUCACUAACCCCUUUGAACACACCGAAUUCAAGUCACUAUCAGAGGGUUAUUGCUGGGACUCGGUGGCUGCAUUGUGAAUUCACUGCUACUGGAGGCCAUCUUUUUUCCACUGUUGUUGGACAGGACAGAGAGAAAUCAACAGGAGGGGAGGAUAGAGAAGGGGAGAGAAACAUAGACACCUGCAGACCUACUUCAUUGCUUGCAAAGCAACUCCCCUAUAAGUGGGGCUCGAAGUGUGAUGCUUGUGCCAGUCCUUGCGCUUUGCACCACCUGCACUUCCUGCUGCACUACUGCCUGACUCCCAGUAUGCAGCUUUUAGAUGUUAGAUUAUAUUAUAAUUUAAAACAUAAGCAAUGGUGUUGCAAUACUUCUUAUGUGGUUAAAUAGUUUGUUCCAAUGAUUGUAAAAUUGACCUGAUUUAUUUGUCAUUAAAUUUAUGUUAAAUUAUCCCUUUAUGCAUGAUACAGUUAUAAGAAUGCCUUGUUUUAUUUCUAUUGAUGACUUUCUUGUUUGAGUUGUUUUUAAUUAAUGCAGUGCCCCAGUUUACUGUUUUCUCACAUGGUAACUACUUUAUUUAAACACUCGUAGAAAAACUAGUUAACUUUUUUUUUGCUUGCCUAAUGGUAAUGCCCUUGAUUCUACAACAUGCCUGAUCUACUGUAAAAUACUCUUGUCAGUUGUAUCUUCAACCGAGACUGUCAUGUUGACACGUACUUUAGUUGUGAGAGAAAUACCUGUAUGUCUUGAAUUGUGAGAGGUAUGAUCGAUCUCAGUCUGCUUCUACUACAUGAUGUGUACUAAUUAUUUUUUUUCUAGCACAGUAUUAACAGAUGGAUUUAUUGUAAAUACAAGGAGAAUAUAUUGAUUAAUAUACUAUUCUUAUGGUUACCUAGCCUUUUGUGUGAAAUUAUUUAUUGUUAUGUCACGCAAGGUUUUCUUCCUUUCUCAUUGACCAGAGACUAAGUGAUAAAAACUUUAGUUAUUUUUACAAAUUAACUUACUUACUUACUUUUGGACAAUAGCCAUUAAAUAUUACUGUAUUAAAUAUAAUUGAGUACAUUUUUAUCAGACUUGUAACAAUAAAAGGGUUUAAAUCAAGAGAAGCUUCACUAUUUUCUCCAGUGUGUAUGUAUCAUACUCUAUUCUCAAGAGUAUUUUUUUACUCAUCAUUGAUCCUUUUCCUUUGCUGUUUUUGUUGUUGUUGUUGGAAAAUUUUUAGCUACCAUUGAAGAUGCAUUUUAACAAGAGAAUAACCAGUGUGACUCACUACCAGUAACUAUCAAGAAAAAAAAGUAUAACAGGCUGUACCAUUAAUAAUAUUGAUUGCCUAUAUUCAAGAAUUCAAAGAUGACCUCAUAGAAGCUUCAGCCAUAUCUGGAAGUAAGUUCUUCAAGAUAGCAAGUGUAUGUGAGUGGACAAGCCAGCAAGUUAACUGGAAAAUUGACACCAAGUGAGACUGUUCUCUUAGACUGCCUUCAUAGUUUUAUUACUUUGAGUAUAGCAAAGUAAAAUGUUGUGAGAAUAAAUUAUACGGAAAACCAA